AUACGUAGGGGGCAAGCGUUAUCCGGAUUCAUUGGGCGUAAAGCGCGCGUAGGCGGCCUAUUUGGUCGGGAGUUAAAACCGGGGGCUCAACCCCCGUCCGCUUCCGAUACCGGUAGGCUUGAGUCUGGUAGGGGAAGGUGGAAUUCCCAGUGUAGCGGUGGAAUGCGCAGAUAUUGGGAAGAACACCGGUGGCGAAGGCGACCUUCUGGGCCAUGACUGACGCUGAGGCGCGAAAGCUAGGGGAGCGAACAGGAUUAGAUACCCUGGUAGUCCUAGCCGUAAACGAUGGACACUAGGUGUGGGAGGGUGUUCCUUCCGUGCCGCAGCUAACGCAUUAAGUGUCCCGCCUGGGGAGUACGGCCGCAAGGCUAAA
rnacentral:rRNA from 1 species